AAUCUUCCACAAUGGACGGCAGUCUGAUGGAGCAAUGCCGCGUGAGCGAAGAAGGUUCUCGGAUCGUAAAGCUCUGUUGUGAGGGAAGAACACGUACGGGGGAAACUGCUCGUACCUUGUCGGGACCCCAUUAGAAAGCCACGGCUAACUACGUGCUAUCAGCCGCGGUAAUACGUAGGUGGCAAGCGUUGUCGGGACUUAUUGGGCGUAAGGAGCGCGAAGGCGGUCUUUUAAUUCUGAUGUGAAAGCCCACGGCUCAACCGUGGAAGGUCAUUGGAAACUGAAGGACUUGAGUACAGAAGAGGAAAGCGGAAUUCCACGUGUAGCGGUGAAAUGCGUAGAGAUGUGGAGGAACACCAGUGGCGAAGGCGGCUUUCUGGUCUGUAACUGACGCUGAGGCGCGAAAGCGUGGGGAGCAAACA
rnacentral:rRNA from 1 species